CGCGUGGAUAACCUGCCGUAUGCAGGGGGAUAACAGUUGGAAACGACUGCUAAUACCGCAUAAGCGCACAAUACCGCAUGGUACAGUGUGAAAAGAUUUAUCGGCAUACGAUGGAUCCGCGUCCGAUUAGCCAGUUGGCGGGGUAACGGCCCACCAAAGCGACGAUCGGUAGCCGGCCUGAGAGGGCGGACGGCCACAUUGGGACUGAGACACGGCCCAAACUCCUACGGGAGGCAGCAGUGGGGAAUAUUGCACAAUGGGGGAAACCCUGAUGCAGCGACGCCGCGUGAGUGAAGAAGUAUUUCGGUAUGUAAAGCUCUAUCAGCAGGGAAGAAAAUGACGGUACCUGACUAAGAAGCCCCGGCUAACUACGUG
rnacentral:rRNA from 1 species